rnacentral:rRNA from 1 species
CCUACAGGGGGCAGCAGUGGGGAAUAUUGGGCAAUGGAGGCAACUCUUACCCAGCAAUGCCGCGUGAAUGAAGAAGGUCUUCGGAUUGUAAAGUUCUUUAAUUGGGGACGAAAAAAAUGACGGUACCCAAGGAAUAAGCCCCGGCUAACUACGGGCCAGCAGCCGCGGUAAGACGUAGGGGGCAAGCGUUGUUCGGAAUGACGGGGCGUAAAGGGUGUGUAGGCGGUGGAGCAAGUUCGAAGUGAAAUACCUAGGGCUUAACUCAGGUGUUGCUUCUGAAACUGCUAUACUUGAGUGCAGUAGAGGAAAGUGGAAUUCCUGGUGUAGCGGUGGAAUGCGUAGAUAUUAGGAGGAACAUCAGUGGCGAAGGCGACUUUCUGGACUGUAACUGACGCUGAGGCACGAAAGUGUGGGGAGCAAACAGGAUUAGAUACCCUAGUAGUC